AACGAACGCUGGCGGCGUGCCUAACACAUGCAAGUCGAACGAGAAAGGGGCUUCGGCUCCGAGUAAAGUGGCGCACGGGUGAGUAACACGUGGGUAACCUGCCUCUCAGAUUGGGAUAACUCGUCGAAAGAUGAGCUAAUACCGCAUAAGACCACAGUUCCCGCGGGAACAGGGGUCAAAGGUAGCCUCUGCUUGCAAGCUAUCACUUAGAGAUGGGCCUGCGCACCAUUAGCUAGUUGGUAGGGUAACGGCCUACCAAGGCAAAGAUGGUUAGCUGGUCGGAGAGGAUGAUCAGCCACACUGGAACUGAGACACGGUCCAGACUCCUACGGGAGGCAGCAGUGGGGAAUAUUGCGCAAUGGGCGAAAGCUUGACGCAGCAACGCCGCGGGAGGGAUGAAGGCCGUCGGGUCGUAAAGCUCUGUCGGGAGGAACGAAUGCUCCUGAGGUUAACAGCCUCGGGAGGUGACGGUACCUUCAAAGGAAGCACCGGCUAACUCUGUG
rnacentral:rRNA from 1 species